AAAAUAGAGAACCAUCUCCAAGUUGUGUUGGUUUGUCCAAUGGAAUUAGAAGUAAUGGAGAAAUUUGUAUUCCUCAGUGAAAAUAUGGUAGGUAGGAGUCAUGUGCCACCAAGAUCCUGAAAUCUGGAUUGUAUGUACACUGUGACAGAAGCAUGGUCUGUUGAUGUGAACUAGUGAAGAUCCUAGGUUGCUAAUAGGACCACAGUUAAAGGGGCAUUUGUGUGGUUGUAAAGAAAUCCUUCUCUGGGAAGCUGUGGUGAGAAGGAUUCUAUGCUGUACUGCCUGCGUCAGGUUCUCUGGCAAGACCUUCACAACUUUGGUGUCCUGGAGGAUAAUGCAACCUGGGGUAAAAAGGCUGGGACCCCGCUCCACCUUGCCACCUGCCAGCCGUGAGGUCUUGGUUGAGCGAGCAUCUUUG